rnacentral:misc_RNA from 1 species
UUUCCGUAGGUGAACCUGCGGAAGGAUCAUUAGUGAAUUGAAUAUUUUAGCGGUCCUUUUCGGAGUCCCUAGCAUCAACUCAUAUCCAUUACCCCUGUGACCUGGCAGGCUGUCUUGAAAACGAAAGCGAUUAGAGCGCCUGCCCAUUUAAUACAAUCAUUAACGUAUCAAACGUAGUCUUAUUCUAAUCAAAUAAAACUUUCAACAACGGAUCUCUUGGCUCUC